GUAGGGAAUAUUGGGCAAUGGAUGCAAGUCUGACCCAGCCAUCCCGCGUGCCGGAAGAAGGCCCUCAGGGUUGUAAACGGCUUUUGACGGUGAAGAAUCGACAGGAUGCGUCCUGUUUUGACGGUAGCCGUUGAAUAAGCACCGGCUAACUCCGUGCCAGCAGCCGCGGUAAUACGGAGGGUGCGAGCGUUGUCCGGAUUUAUUGGGUUUAAAGGGUGCGUAGGUUGGAAGGUCAGUCAGCGGUGAAAAGCUGUCGCUUAACGAUAGUCUUGCCGCAGAUACUUCCUUUCUUGGAUGAGGAGGAGGCCACUGGAACGGAUGGUGUAGCGGUGAAAUGCAUAGAUAUCAUCCAGAACACCGAUUGCGAAGGCAGGUGGCUGUACCUUAAUCGACGCUGAUGCACGAAAGCAUGGGGAGCAAACAGGAUUAGAAACCCUGGUAGACC
rnacentral:rRNA from 1 species